AUGACGGCUGUCGUCGUGCUUGCAGUUUGUUCUCUGUUUGUGAGUUUUCUUGAGGAAGGUUGGGUUUUCGGUGCCAUUCGUGUUGAUCCUUCCUCGGUGUUCUUUGGCCGAAAGGCGUUGGAAGCUGGAGGAGCAUCGGCAUGGUCUCCCUCUCCGGAAGCGUCGCUGAAGCGUGGCGUCGCCGCUUCGAGCAUCCGUUCCCCCGCACCACCGGAAGCAGGGUCGCCUGCUCUGCGUCAUGGUUUCGACAGCUCUUCCAAUGAAAAACGGCACAAGGAGGCCAUGGCGGAUGAAGGGGAAAUGGUUGCACCGCGGGCGAAGGGCAGAAAGGCCAUCGAAGCAGAGAAUGGUGCACCACUACCACCACCACCACCCAGCCCAUCGGAGGAGAGAGCGACCAAAAGGGUCCUAAGCACCAUUGGUUGUAUUGUCAGUGUGAUUGUAUACUGCAACCCAAUCAUUGUAUUCUGGAGUACUAGAAGUAACAUGGCUUCGACCGCAGCUUUCUGCACCAUGACUGAUUUUAUAUCAUCUUCACUGAGUACUGGAUCUUGGCUGAUCUUUGCGAUCGUACAGCUAAAUGGGGAAGACGGAAGCAUACUUGGACUGGAGGCAGUCAUAGCUAAUGCUUUCGGCCUUACUCUUCUGGCUGUAUUUAUCAUCGCCAAGCUUGCGUCAAAAAAUGGAAUGAGUGCCAUGGUGUGUACGGGAUCACUGUUUGGAUUUGUCAUAGUCAUUGGCGUUUGCGUGUGCUUUGCUAUUGAUGUACCAGUCAAGAGAGACACGUUCGCAGCAUAUCAGAUAUCUAUUGUUGCCAGUGUCCUUCAGGUCAUCUCACAGUUGAUACCCUUCCGCAGUGUGGUAUGUGCUUAA
rnacentral:rRNA from 1 species